rnacentral:rRNA from 1 species
AUUGAACGCUGGCGGCAGGCCUAACACAUGCAAGUCGAGCGAGCGGCGGACGGGUGAGUAAUGUAUGUGGACUGCCUGAUAGAGGGGGAUAACUACUGGAAACGGUGGCUAAUACCGCAUACUAUCGGAUAACCCAUAUGGGAUUAGCUAGUAGGUGGGGUAAAGGCGCGCCUAGGCGACGAUCUCUAGCUGGUCUUAGAGGAUGAUCAGCCAGACUGGGACUAGGACACGGCCCAGACGCCUACGGAGGCAGCAGUGGGGAAUAGUGCACAAUGGGCGCAAGCCGGAUGCAGCCAUGCCGCGUAUAUGAAGGAGGCCUUAGGGUUGUAAAGUACUUUCAGCGGGGAGGCGUUACCCGCAGAAGAAGCACCGGCUAACUCCGUGCCAGCCGCCGCGGUAAUUC